rnacentral:rRNA from 1 species
UACGGGGGGAGCAAGCGUUGUUCGGAUUUACUGGGCGUAAAGGGCGCGUAGGCGGCCACCGCAAGUCGACUGUGAAAUCUCCGGGCUCAACCUGGGAACUGCGUCUGAUACUGGCGGGCUUGAAUUCGGGAGAGGGAUGUGGAAUUCCAGGUGUAGCGGUGAAAUGCGUAGAGAUGUGGAGGAACACCGAUGGCGAAGGCAGCCUUCUGGGCCAACACUGACGCUCAUGCACGAAAGCGUGGGGAGCAAACAGG